rnacentral:rRNA from 1 species
AUUGAACGCUGGCGGCAGGCCUAACACAUGCAAGUCGAACGAGUGGCGGACGGGUGAGUAAUGUCUGGGAACCUGCCUGAUGGAGGGGGAUAACUACUGGACACGGUAGCUAAUACCGCAUACCAUCAGAUGUGCCCAGAUGGGAUUAGCUAGUUGGUGGGGUAACGGCUCACCAAGGCGACGAUCCCUAGCUGGUCUGAGAGGAUGACCAGACACAUGGGAACUUGGACACGGUCCAGACUCCUACGGGAGGCAGCAGUGGGGAAUAUUGGGCAAUGGGCGCAAGCCUGAUGCAGCCAUGCCGCGUGUAUGAAGAAGGCCUUCGGGUUGUAAAGUACUUUCAGCGGUGAGGCGUUACCCGCAGAAGAAGCACCGGCUAACUCCGUGCCAGCAGCCGCGGUAAUUC